rnacentral:rRNA from 1 species
CGGGGAGGUAGUGACGAAAAAUAACGAUACGGGACUCAUCCGAGGCCCCGUAAUCGGAAUGAGUACACUUUAAAUCCUUUAACGAGGAUCAAUUGGAGGGCAAGUCUGGUGCCAGCAGCCGCGGUAAUUCCAGCUCCAAUAGCGUAUAUUAAAGUUGUUGCGGUUAAAAAGCUCGUAGUUGAAUCUGUGUGUCGCAGUGUCGGUUCACCGCUCGCGGUGUUUAACUGGCAUUAUGCGAUACGUCCUACCGGUGGGCUUAGCCUCUUCGGGGGCGGUCCAACACACAUCCCAUCGCGGUGCUCUUCACUGAGUGUCGAGGUGGGCCGGUACGUUUACUUUGAAUAAAUUAGAGUGCUUAAAGCAGGCUAUUUUCGCCUGAAUACUAUGUGCAUGGAAUAAUGGAAUAGGACCUCGGUUCUAUUUUGUUGGUUUUCGGAACCCCGAGGUAAUGAUUAAUAGGGACAGAUGGGGGCAUUCGUAUUGCGACGUUAGAGGUGAAAUUCUUGGAUCGUCGCAAGACGGACUAAAGCGAAAGCAUUUGCCAAAAAUGUUUUCAUUAAUCAAGAACGAAAGUUAGAGGUUCGAAGGCGAUCAGAUACCGCCCUAGUUCUAACCAUAAACGAUGCCAACCAGCGAUCCGCCGAUGUUCCUCCGAUGACUCGGCGGGCAGCUUCCGGGAAACCAAAGUUUUUGGGUUCCGGGGGAAGUAUGGUUGCAAAGCUGAAACUUAAAGGAAUUGACGGAAGGGCACCACCAGGAGUGGAGCCUGCGGCUUAAUUUGACUC